UACGAAGGGUGCAAGCGUUACUCGGAAUUACUGGGCGUAAAGCGUGCGUAGGCGGUGAGUUAAGUCUGUCGUGAAAGCCCCGGGCUCAACCUGGGAAUGGCGAUGGAUACUGGCUCGCUAGAGUGCGGUAGAGGAGAGUGGAAUUCCCGGUGUAGCAGUGAAAUGCGUAGAGAUCGGGAGGAACAUCAGUGGCGAAGGCGGCCUGCUGGGCUGUUGCUGACGCUGAGGCGCGACAGCGUGGGGAGCAAACAGG
rnacentral:rRNA from 1 species